rnacentral:sRNA from 1 species
AAAAAAAGAUACAAAAAAGAUAGAUUUACUUUUGUUCUUACAAAGAAACAAAAAAAGAAUCUGACAUUUUUCUCACAUACACAAUGUUCAUGGUCUUCAGUUGUACUUCCUCUUCUUUAUCUUGAAGGAAGAUGAUCGGAUAAUGUCAUCGUCGGCAGUGAGAACGGUCUCGAGUGGAACUAUUGAUUCGGGUUUGGUGAA